AGGGAAAAUGAGGCUUCCUUCAGUUUGGCGGGUUUCCCGCCGAAGGAAGCCGAGAUCCGAAAGUUUUAAAAGAUCUCCUCAAAAGUAGGGUUAGGC
rnacentral:sRNA from 14 species